CUUGGCAAUUAUUGAGGUUGGGAUACACCUGUUCCCAUCCCGAACACAGUAGUUAAGCCAACCUUCGCCGAUGGUACUGAUCUGGUGAUGAUCGGGAGAGUAGGGCGUUGCCAAGA
rnacentral:rRNA from 2 species